rnacentral:rRNA from 1 species
AACGAACGCUGGCGGCGUGGAUAAGACAUGCAAGUCGAACGCGAUUUUCCCGGUUAGCAAUAACUGGGAAAAUUGAGUGGCGAAUGGGUGCGUAACACGUGGGAAUUUACCCGGAAGUGGGGGAUAGCUCGUCGAAAGGCGAAUUAAUACCGCAUGUGCCCGUGAGGGCAAAGUGGGGGACCGCAAGGCCUCACGCUACCGGAGAAGCCCGCGUCCUAUCAGCUAGUUGGCGGGGUAACGGCCCACCAAGGCGAAGACGGGUAGCUGGUCUGAGAGGACGACCAGCCACACUGGAACUGAGACACGGUCCAGACACCUACGGGUGGCAGCAGUCGAGGAUUUUUCUCAAUGGGGGCAACCCUGAAGGAGCGACGCCGCGUGGAGGAUGAAGGGCUUCGGCUUGUAAACUCCUGUCACCGACGAACAAGGCAUCCGGUUGAACAUUCCGGGUGAUUGAUGGUAGUCGGAGAGGAAGGGGCGACUAACUCUGUGCCGGCAGCCGCGGUAA